rnacentral:rRNA from 1 species
CGCAUCUGUGCAUGCAGCAUAUCAAUAAGCGGAGGAAAAGAAACUAACAAGGAUUCCCCUAGUAACGGCGAGUGAAGCGGGAAGAGCUCAAAUUUGAAAUCUUAAAGGGUUUCCCUUUACGAAUUGUAGUUUAAAGAAGUGUUUUCUGUUGAGGUUUCGGUAAAAGUUCUUUGGAAUAGGACAUCAUAGAGGGUGAGAAUCCCGUAUUUGACCUUUACUUUCAACUUUGUGAUACACUUUCAAAGAGUCGGAUUGUUUGGGAAUGCAGUCCAAAAUGGGUGGUAAAUUUCAUCUAAAGCUAAAUAUUGGCGAGAGACCGAUAGCGAACAAGUACCGUGAGGGAAAGAUGAAAAGAACUUUGAAAAGAGAGUUAAACAGUACGUGAAAUUGUCAAAAGGGAAGCGUUUGACACCAGUGUUGUUUUUCUGAAAAUCAAUUAAAGAACUGUUUAUGCUAAGUUGUUUAGACUUUAUCAGCUAACUGUUUAGUUUUGAGCUUUUCUUUAAUGCACUUUUCAGUUAACAAGUCAACAUCAAUUUCUUUUGCUGUAAAAAAGCUUGAGGAAGGUGGCUUGAGAUUCGUCUUAAGUGUUUAUAGCCUCUUGCCUAUACAGUCGGAGAGAUUGAGGUCUGCAGCGUAGAUCCUUCGGGGCUAAAUGCAUUUGUGCUAAGUUAUAACAUUUUAUAGACAACUUGUUGACUAUGAUUUGUCUUGUAGCUUACUCGCUUAUGUUAUUUUACCUACGCUUAGGAUGUUGAGCGCAUGUCUCUCUCU